rnacentral:rRNA from 1 species
GCACUCCCGGGGCGUCUCUAUCUCAUUGCGAGAGGAGGCGCACCUAGAGCGUACACGCUGAUACCCGAAAGAUGGUGAACUAUGCCUGGCCAGGACGAAGCCAGGGGAAACCCUGGUGGAGGUCCGCAGCGAUUCUGACGUGCAAAUCGAUCGUCGGAGCUGGGUUUAGGGGCGAAAGACCAAUCGAACCAUCUAGUAGCUGGUUCCCUCUGAAGUUUCCCUCAGGAUAGCUUGCGCUCGGGAAGAACGAGUCUCAUCCGGUAGAGCGAAUGAUUAGAGGCCUUGGGGUCGAAACGACCUCAACCUAUUCUCAAACUCCAAAUAGAUGAGAUCCCCGGCUUUCUUGAACGUAGUUUAUGAAGCCGGGGGUUCGGAUCAGAGUGCCAAGUGGGCCAAUUUUGGUAAGCAGAACUGGCGCUGUGGGAUGAACCAAACGCGGAGUUAAGGCGCCUCAAUCGACGCUCAUGUGAAACCAUGAAAGGCGUUGGUUGCUUAAGACAGCAG